UUUUAAUGAUGAGUCUAACUAGCUCACUUUGAGAGAUCAAGUCAUGAAAAGGUUUGAACAACUGAAAAAC